GAAGGAAAACACAGAGUGUGUGAUAAAAACACACAAAGCGGCCACAUGACAACUCGGCGUUGUAUCUUUAUCUUCUGGCAAAAGGGGGUUUGGUCGCCGAUCGGUGGACCUGAUAACAGUCAGCCCAAAUUUGUUUACAACAAUCCCAAAGUCCGAUCGUCAGCCGGCUGAUGGUUUGAAAGAAUGCCGCCCACACAGCCCAACACGAGAAGAGUAUAUGAAUCCGAGAGAAAGCGGU
rnacentral:misc_RNA from 1 species